UCCAACUUAUCGCUAGACAUGGUAACUAGCGACGAGGGUUGCGCUCGUUGCGGGACUUAACCCAACACCUCACGGCACGAGCUGACGACAACCAUGCACCACCUGUGCACGGCCCUUACGGACCCCCCCAUCUCUGGAGGAUUUCCGCGCAUGUCAAGCCUAGGUAAGGUUCUUCGCGUUGCAUCGAAUUAAGCAACAUGCUCCGCCGCUUGUGCGGGCCCCCGUCAAUUCCUUUGAGUUUUAGCCUUGCGGCCGUACUCCCCAGGCGGGGCGCUUAAUGCGUUAGCUGCGGCACGGAGACCGUGGAAUGGCCCCCACACCUAGCGCCCAACGUUUACGGCGUGGACUAC
rnacentral:misc_RNA from 1 species